rnacentral:rRNA from 1 species
CCGUGGCGGCUAACACAUGCAAGUCGAGCGGAUGACAGGAGCUUGCUCCUGAAUUCAGCGGCGGACGGGUGAGUAAUGCCUAGGAAUCUGCCUGGUAGUGGGGGACAACGUUUCGAAAGGAACGCUAAUACCGCAUACGUCCUACGGGAGAAAGCAGGGGACCUUCGGGCCUUGCGCUAUCAGAUGAGCCUAGGUCGGAUUAGCUAGUUGGUGAGGUAAUGGCUCACCAAGGCGACGAUCCGUAACUGGUCUGAGAGGAUGAUCAGUCACACUGGAACUGAGACACGGUCCAGACUCCUACGGGAGGCAGCAGUGGGGAAUAUUGGACAAUGGGCGAAAGCCUGAUCCAGCCAUGCCGCGUGUGUGAAGAAGGUCUUCGGAUUGUAAAGCACUUUAAGUUGGGAGGAAGGGCAGUAACUUAAUACGUUGCUGUUUUGACGUUACCGACAGAAUAAGCACCGGCUAACUCUGUGCCAGCAGCCGCGGUAAUACAGAGGGUGCAAGCGUUAAUCGGAAUUACUGGGCGUAAAGCGCGCGUAGGUGGUUUGUUAAGUUGGAUGUGAAAGCCCCGGGCUCAACCUGGGAACUGCAUUCAAAACUGACAAGCUAGAGUAUGGUAGAGGGUGGUGGAAUUUCCUGUGUAGCGGUGAAAUGCGUAGAUAUAGGAAGGAACACCAGUGGCGAAGGCGACCACCUGGACUGAUACUGACACUGAGGUGCGAAAGCGUGGGGAGCAAACAGGAUUAGAUACCCUGGUAGUCCACGCCGUAAACGAUGUCAACUAGCCGUUGGGAGCCUUGAGCUCUUAGUGGCGCAGCUAACGCAUUAAGUUGACCGCCUGGGGGAGUACGGCCGCAAGGUUAAAACUCAAAUGAAUUGACGGGGGCCCGCACAAGCGGUGGAGCAUGUGGUUUUAAUUCGAAGCAACGCGAAGAAYCUUACCAGCCCUUGACAUCCAAUGAACUUUCCAGAGAUGGAUUGGAUGGCCUUCGGACAUUGAGACAGUGCCUGCAUGACUGGUCGUCAGCUUCGUGUUCGUGCAAGAAGGUUG